rnacentral:rRNA from 1 species
GCAGACGACGCUGGCGGCGUGCUUAACACAUGCAAGUCGAACGAUGAAGCCCUUCGGGGUGGAUUAGUGGCGAACGGGUGAGUAACACGUGGGCAAUCUGCCCUUCACUCUGGGACAAGCCCUGGAAACGGGGUCUAAUACCGGAUAACACUCUGUCCCGCAUGGGACGGGGUUGAAAGCUCCGGCGGUGAAGGAUGAGCCCGCGGCCUAUCAGCUUGUUGGUGGGGUGAUGGCCUACCAAGGCGACGACGGGUAGCCGGCCUGAGAGGGCGACCGGCCACACUGGGACUGAGACACGGCCCAGACUCCUACGGGAGGCAGCAGUGGGGAAUAUUGCACAAUGGGCGAAAGCCUGAUGCAGCGACGCCGCGUGAGGGAUGACGGCCUUCGGGUUGUAAACCUCUUUCAGCAGGGAAGAAGCGAAAGUGACGGUACCUGCAGAAGAAGCGCCGGCUAACUACGUGCCAGCAGCCGCGGUAAUACGUAGGGCGCAAGCGUUGUCCGGAAUUAUUGGGCGUAAAGAGCUCGUAGGCGGCUUGUUGCGUCGGUUGUGAAAGCCCGGGGCUUAACCCCGGGUCUGCAGUCGAUACGGGCAGGCUAGAGUGUGGUAGGGGAGAUCGGAAUUCCUGGUGUAGCGGUGAAAUGCGCAGAUAUCAGGAGGAACACCGGUGGCGAAGGCGGAUCUCUGGGCCAUUACUGACGCUGAGGAGCGAAAGCGUGGGGAGCGAACAGGAUUAGAUACCCUGGUAGUCCACGCCGUAAACGUUGGGAACUAGGUGUUGGCGACAUUCCACGUCGUCGGUGCCGCAGCUAACGCAUAAGUCCCC